GACGAACGCUGGCGGCGUGCUUAACACAUGCAAGUCGAACGAAGUGGCGAACGGGUGAGUAACGCGUAAUCAACCUGCCCUUCAGAGGGGGACAACAGUUGGAAACGACUGCUAUUACCGCAUACGGAAUGAGGGGGUUGCGUCUGAUUAGCUAGUGGGAGGGGUAACGGCCCUCCAAGGGGAGGAUCAGUAGCCGGUCUGGGAGGAUGAACGGCCACAUUGGGACUGGGACACGGCCCAGACUCCCACGGGAGGCAGCAGUGGGGAAUCUUCCGAAAUGGACGAAAGUCUGACGGAGCAACGCCGCGGGAGUGAUGACGGCCUUCGGGUUGUAAAGCUCUGUUAAUCGGGACGCGGUACCGGAAUAGAAAGCCACGGCUAACUACGUGCCAGCCGCCGCGGUAAUAC
rnacentral:rRNA from 1 species